rnacentral:lncRNA from 1 species
UGAAUUCCAGCAUUUUUAUUGAGCGCACCACAUCGGGGAGGGGCGGCAGUGGUUUCCACGGUAACCAAAGUAAGGCUUGUGCACUUGCUGAGCUUCCAGAUGCGAAUUAGUAAAAGCUAAAUUCAAAAGUAGAAUGGGCAUCUCCAAAGAGUACGAUAAAAACAUUUUGUAUCAAACUUGUGAUUAAAAAAAUACAAAAGUUAAACCCACAGGCAAAGAGGAAAAUGACAAUCCUGAGAGCUGCCCUGAUAGGUGAGCCUCGAACCUCGUCUAAAUCCGUAAGAAGGCAAACCCUGGGGAGGCCAGCACCCCUCGGGAGAGUGGGAGUGAACGCGGAGCCCACCUGGCUUCAUCUGGGCAAAGCUUCGUAGCGCCUCUGGCAGGAUGUGUGUCCAGUCCCCCGAGGGGCAGAGGCACUGCGGUGUGGACACACGAGGGCUGGGGGGCAGGGGCGGAGCCGAACCCUGCAGCCAGGCAAAAGCGGGAAAGGCCUGGUUCCUCCAGCAUUUCCCAGCUUUUGGGGGCUCCCAAGAGAUAGUGGUUCCCACUUGCCCAGCCACUGCUGUGGCCAAGCAGCAGGGUCGGACCUGAGCCUGUGGUCACAGCAGACUGGCUACUACUCAGCUCCAGGCCCUUAUUUCCAAUCCUCGGUGUCCAGGAGAGAAAGCCGGUCCCAGAGUGUGGAAGUGGCGUUACUGUACAGAGAGGCGGCAGGCAGGAGUCGCAGAUGGUGGUGGCUGCUAGGACAGCAUGGACUGCUGCACGGCCUUCUGCAGCGACUGCCGCGUCACCAGCAGACGCACCACCUCCUCCGAGCGCUUGGUGAGCCGCUUGCGGGCCUGGUCGUGUGUGACCAUGGUCAUGUCCCAGCCGUUCACCUGGC